AAAUUAAGUCUAAAAAUUCAUCUCCAAAAUAGAUUUUUAAGAGUGUCUCGGGGAUUGAACUUUUUCCCUCUAAAAAUAGCAUGUGCAUCUUGACUUACCCCUGGUCAACAUACCCAUGCAUAUUUAAAUAGCUAUUGACGUUCCCAUGCAUAUUGCCUAGGGCUAAGUCAAUAUGCACACGCUAGAAGGAAAACUUCAUUGCCCCCAGAACUUGAGCCGCCCACCAUCAUCAUGACUAGCCGAAAUCAGCCGAGCUAAGCCAAGUCCAGCCCGGCCGAGCCGAAAUCAGUGCCAAGCUGAGUCGAAAAAGCAUCUCGUUCUUUUUCCUUUCAUCUAAGUAGUUCUUUUUGUACUCUCUUUGGGAUUCUUGUUGGAUAUUCAGAAACAGAUGAAAACCCCAUCCUCUAUAAGGCGGAUGACAAGGGCUGCUUUGAAUGCCUCAUCUUCAUCAAAAACAGGGCAUGUAAUGCAUUUUGGGACCAUCAAUUUUCAAGAGCUGAAGAAAUGGGGAUAGCAGCUUUGAUUGGCAUAACAAAUGAUUCACCUAUUGUGGGUUUAGCACUUGGUUAAAGAAAAAACCAAGAAACCCCUGCUUCGAGUACAAAGAAACAUAACCCCCAAAAUAAAAAAUGAAGACCCCGGCUUCAGGAGAAGCCCUUAUUUGAUGCCAAGUGAGAUCCCUUUUGCUGAGGGUUGAAGAAGGCAGCCAGUUCAUCUGAGUUCAGAUAGUUUGCUCCCACUUGGCCUUCAAUCACUCUUUGUUUCUCCAUCUAGGCUAUUGGCACCAACUCCUGCGAGCAAUAUUCCUUUUUAUUGGAGUAUUGAGGUUAUGUAACUACUUAGGUUGUAUUUAUCUUUCUGUUAGCUGUUAACGGUUUGCAAGUCUGUUAUUCCCUUUUCUGAAUUUAACUGUGGAUCAUGUGCUUCAUUUCUGCCUUCCAGAGCUUGUCAUAUCAUAUUGAUUGUAUUUAAUUUCCAACAUUUGUUUCUUUUCUGAUAUUCAUUGUGAAGAAUCUUAUCUCAAUGUAACAGGGGAUUGCUGAA